ACUCAAAUGAAUUGACGGGGACCCGCACAAGCGGUGGAGCGUGUUGUUUAAUUCGAUGGUAAACGGAAAACCUUACCAAGGUUUGACAUCCCGCGAAUUUCUCCGAAAGGAGAGAGUGCCUUUUAGGAGCGCGGUGACAGGUGCUGCAUGGCCGUCGUCAGCUCGUGUCGUGAGAUGUUGGGUUAAGUCCCGCAACGAGCGCAACCCUUAUGGUUAGUUGAAUUUUUCUAAUCAGACUGCCCCGGUAACGGGGAGGAAGGGGGGGAUGAUGUCAGGUCGGUAUUGCCCUUACACCUUGGGCUACAAACACGCUACAAUGGCCGGUACAGAGGGCCGCUACGUCGCGAGACUUUAGCAAACCCCACCAAAGCCGGUCUCAGUUCGGAUUGUAGGCUGCAACUCGCCUGCAUGAAGCCGGAAUCGCUAGUAACCGUGGGUCAGCAUACCGCGGUGAAUACGUUCCCGGGUCUUGUACACACCGCCCGU
rnacentral:rRNA from 1 species